rnacentral:lncRNA from 1 species
CCAUGCAAUGGAGCAACCUAUAGCAUCUUCCAAUAUUUUCAUACCAUUGCAAGGUUUCCAUAAUCUUGCUGUAGAUUCGAUAACAUGUUCCACCACAACCUUAGAUGCACCUGACCCAAGUUUAAUCCCCUGCGCUUCCAUAUCUGGAUUAUCUGACAGCCAAACACCUUCAGCUACAAUGUCUUCUUCGUCCAUUCGAAACAGUUUGCACUUCACAACUAAGGGAUUUUUAUUUGUGGAAUGCACCUAAUUGAAAACAAAAUAACAAUUACUCAAAUUAUUUAAAAAUCAGAUAACACUCGAUUACAAUAAUCAUGUUAUAUUGAUACUUAACCUGAUGUGCACUUGAAGAUGUUCCAAACAUUGGUUCAUAACCCUGUUCAACCAUAAAAUAUAAAAAGAAAUCAUAAGUUGAUCUUUUUCUCAUGCUAAAAAAUGCUAACUUUGUGACUUUUAACUUUUAAAAGGUUUUAGAAAUCUGUAGAUUAAUAUAUUCAACUACUCAUAGUUUGAGAUUACCCUAUAAUGAAUUAAUGAUACUAGGCAAUUGCUAGCACUCAUAUUCAGCCAGAUCUCUUUGGGCCAGUUGCCAGCAGUCCAAAAUGGACUGCAGACCUUUUAAUAUUGAAAAGCUAAGAAGUUUUGGUCUAGCACAUUGAACAAUCCAUAUUCCCAGAGAUAAACAAACAAGAAAGACAACAAAUACCAAUAACCAUAUUCCAUCACAAAAGAAAUUAACAAACUAAACCAUUUAACCACUUACCUGAGAUAUCAAAAGCUAAUUCACCAAACUCUGCAUAGUAUUGAUUUGUUCUUGACACUCCUCCCUUAUUGCUCCUCUCAUUUCUUGUCUUAAUGAUUCUUGCAUCUCUUGCCUUAUUUUUUCUUCCAAGUCUCUCCUUGUCGACUCCAUGCUAGCAACCUUCUUUGAAAGUUCUUCAACCUCUUGUUCUAGCUGGACAACUUUCUCUUUGUGUUGUGUAAUUAUACCAACUUUCGAAGGAGUAACACCAAAUCCAAGUGCUCUAACAUGACCAGAAGGUUCGGGUCCAAAAACUUGUGACAAUGCAUCAUCUUUAAGAGACAGUGAGGAAUCUUCAACUGACUUAUCGUUGAUUUUCUGAAUUUUUUUCUGAAAAUAACCAAAUAUCUAGCAUAAGUAGUAGUGCAAACUCUAGCUAUUUAGUACAUUGAACAAAAUGACAAAAUACCCCUGAUGCACUGCAAAUUAAACACAAAGAUGAAAUUUGAAGUUAUACCAUUCUCUCGCCAACUUCCGCAUUUGUAGGUUCACCAUUCUUCCUAGUGUGUCCUCUUAUCCAGAUAUUUGAUCUAGUAAUGGUGGAUGGAUUGAAACUCUCCUUUUUCUGAACACAAAAAUUAAAUAUGUGAAGUAGAUAGAAGAGUAGACCAGAAAAUUAACUGAGAAAACAAAACAAAAGUAUCACCAUGUUAGCCUCUAAGCGAGCAUAUCCUUGUCGGCCGGUUGUAUGUGAUAGAAUGUUAUUUGACCUGAUUCUUCUGAAUUUGUUCCUCUUUUCCUACAAUACAGUUAUUUUUAACAAUGAACGUCCAAGCUCUAACAAUUCACAACCACAAACAAAGGGACAAACCUGAAAUGCUCUUGAUCUAUGUAGUCUAAUCAAGCUCUUCCAUUGUUCAAGUCCGACACGUUUGGGUCUAGCUUCGCGUAACUCACUUUCAUUUUUACAUGCAUCAAUCAAUGAGUGUAGCCUGGAUUUUCCUAGUCUCCAUAAACAUCCGGCAUCCUUCAUGACAUACUCUCUUGCUUCUUCUUUGAGGAUAAACUUUUGCUGCAAAUAUACAAUACAAAACAUUAGUUUAUGGACUUGAAACAGGAAUAAGAAUUAGGCCCUAACAAUUAAUACUAACUAUAUUAAUGUAGCAUGAUACCUUUGUUGCUAUCCAUAAUGUUUCUUUUAUGCCUGGAGAAACCUUCCUCCAAUCAUGUAUAGUCAUGUCAACAAUCUUGCGCACAUUAGCUCCCACGAAAGAAACUAGCUUAUUAGAUUCAUCACCAAUAGGUUGCCCCCUUUCAUUGAAAUUAACUUUCAUUCUUUUACUGCUCUCAGUAGCUACUGUAUCACAUUUAGCUGGACCUCUCUAAUUCCUUUCUGAAAACGUUUCAGGUGAAGUAUAUAUGCUCUCAUUUUCUGCAUUCAUAGGUAAAUAUUAGAUCAAGUACACUACUCUCUCUACUAUAAGAUUCAAUUUUCUACCUGGAGGAAAGCCAAUCGGUGAAUCUAUAAUAUCUUUCUCUCCAGUAUAGCUUGCAGGCAAUGGUGAACAUAAUAUACCUUUGCCCUUUCUGGCCUUCUUUAAACUCUGUAGUACAAUGAAAUGCAAACCAAAAGAAUACAUGACAUCAAUGUAAAGAUGUCUUAAUCCAGAUUUGUUGCUAAACAGGUUUGUUGACUCGUUUACACACUUUAGAUAUUAAACUGCUGAAACAAUGACCAUACUUUCACCGAUUCUUAGCGAUUCUAAUAUUGCACACUUGCACUGGAAACUCUGGACUUUUUUGUUAAUACAUAUACUACUUCAUGUUGCAAAAAAUGAUCGAUCAUAAUAGUGGAGUAGCACAACAACAUAUACUUCUAAAACACUUGACGCCGCAAGUGUUUGGACACUUCAAAUGUUUUUUUAAAAAGGAUACAUAUGAAUACUUCAAAUGUAUACAACAUUUUCUUUUCUGAAUCACAGUAUGUUGUUUUUAGUAAUGCAUUCAUGCAAGCAAGGUUCUCUGGUAAAUGUUGUUUUUAGUAAUGCAUUCAAGCAAGCAAGGUUCUCUGGUACAUAUUAAAAUUGUUGAAAAGUAUAUAUACUGAAAGGAAAAUACUAAAGAUUUUUACUCAAAAUUGACAUGAUGACAAAUGGGAUCUGUCGACAUGGCAGUUCAAAAGAUGGAAUCCAGUCCUUAUCUAACACCCAACCCAUCAACAGUAAAACACUUUCGAAUUGUUCUCGAUAAAGCACGCCUGGUUGCUUUUAGCUCAUCCAACAAAUUACGUUUCUCCUCAACAUUGGCCAUUAUAUAUAAUGCAGUGAUCAAACACUAUCACUCUAUAAGGAGGUAGGUAUGUAUGUAUACUGUGUUGCGUAAAUUAGCCACACAAUAAUGCAAGGAUGUUAAUAGUAUGCUACUUUAAUUUUCAAUUGUUUUUCUUAGAGCUGGACCUUUGAUUCUUUGAAAAAUUCUGGUUCCUGUCUAUGGACCAGAUUCUAUAUAUGGAAGAAUAGGAAUCUGCAGGGUCUUAUAAUAUUUACAUUGUCUGCAAUACUUGACAUUAAGGCCUAAAGUCUGCAAGUAGAGUUUCGAGACCUGCAAUACUUGAUUAUUUAAGGCCUAAAGUCUGCAAGUAGAGUUUCGAGACAUGUGAAACUCUAUAUAUGAAAAAAUUACACACACACAUAAUCAAAAUCUAGAAUGUAACAAAGAGAUUUCAGAAUAUAUCAACAUUUCAUAUAAAAUACACACAAACACAUACCAAACAUUGUUCGUUCUAAGAAAAUUUGAGAAAAAUAUUUCAAAAACGGAGCGAAUUCAAGCAUUUAAACUCAAGAUAAGAGCUAAUUGAGAUCGAAUUCUACCUGAAUAGGUUGAUGAAAAGAUCAAUUGGUAGGUUGUUGAUGAACAAUCUCUAGCCGGAGAAGAAGAUAGAUGAAUUGGUAGGUUGUUGACGAAGAGAUUUGUGCGAUUGAUGAAGAGAUUUCAGAGUAGAUCGAAGUAGUUGAGAGAGAGAGAGAGAUUUGCGCGAUUG